AUGUGCUUUGCUCGAGACCACCGCAUCGGUGAUUGUCGGGAUCCUCCCACCUGCCUCCUCUGUGGCCGCUCCGGUCACAAAGCCCGUGGGUGCCUCAAGUUCCAGUUUGACUUUCCGCCUCUCCAGCUGCCUCCGCGUCCUCCUGCUCACCGUCGCCUCCUUUUUCCUGCCGACCAUCCUAUCUCGCGCCGUCAGCCUACCGCCUCUCGCCUCACAUUCCCACUAGAUCAUCCCAACUCCCUGCGACUUCCAGCCAGAGAGCGCCUCUCCUUCCCUCCGCUGCUUGCCAAUCCGCCUCAGGGCUAUCAUGUUCCUCACUUGUAG
rnacentral:rRNA from 1 species